rnacentral:rRNA from 1 species
AGUGAACGCUGGCGGCAGGCCUAACACAUGCAAGUCGAGCGGCAGCGGGCUGUAGCAAUACAGUGCCGGCGAGCGGCGGACGGGUGAGGAAUACAUCGGAAUCUACCUUGUCGUGGGGGAUAACGUAGGGAAACUUACGCUAAUACCGCAUACGAACUACGGUUGAAAGCGGAGGACCGCAAGGCUUCGCGCGAUUGGAUGAGCCAAUGUCGGAUUAGCUAGUUGGCGGGGUAAUGGCCCACCAAGGCGACGAUCCGUAGCUGGUCUGAGAGGAUGAUCAGCCACACUGGAACUGAGACACGGUCCAGACUCCUACGGGAGGCAGCAGUGGGGAAUAUUGGACAAUGGGCGCAAGCCUGAUCCAGCCAUGCCGCGUGUGUGAAGAAGGCC